GUAGGUGGCAAGCGUUGUCCGGAAUUAUUGGGCGUAAAGCGCGCGCAGGCGGUCCUUUAAGUCUGAUGUGAAAGCCCACGGCUCAACCGUGGAGGGUCAUUGGAAACUGGGGGACUUGAGUACAGAAGAGGAAAGCGGAAUCCCAAGUGUAGCGGUGAAAUGCGUAGAGAUUUGGAGGAACACCAGUGGCGAAGGCGGCUUUCUGGUCUGUAACUGACGCUGAGGCGCGAAAGCGUGGGGAGCAAACAGGGAUUAGAUACCCUGGUAGUCCACGCCGUAAACGAUGAGUGCUAAGUGUUAGGGGGUUUCCCGCCCCUUAGUGCUGCAGCUAACGCAUUAAGCACUCCGCCUGGGGAGUACGGCCGCAAGGCUG
rnacentral:rRNA from 1 species